CAGGCAUGAGAUGCAAUUGUUCCUCACUACCUCAUGAGUGCUAUCAUAUGAUAGAUUGCACUCAUGCUAAAACAUGUGUUAGCAAGCAUGCUAACAAUGUAGCCAGUGUGCUUAAAUGUACUUUGUUAGACAAGUGACACAAGAACAUUUCCUGAUGUUGGAACACAGUCUGCACAUAAGGUGGCAGAUGCGCAGGGGAUCCCAACACAGCACAGAAGGGCAACACUGGCUGAAGACAGCUGAAGAUGCUCUCCUUUGGUGGAUUUUGGGGGAAACCUGGAGGUGUCCGCACGCUGCAUUGAUUCUUCGAUCCACUGAAGCACUUUUCCUCUUCUGCACUCCAAUGACUGUCGUAGGUCCAGCUUCCCGUGAAUGUGAAAAAUCUUUCUGCACCUUUUGAUUCAGUUAACUGGCCAGUGGUGACAGGACUCCAAACAUGUUUUCAGUCAUAGCCACAAUACUCUGAUUACUUUUAUUGGAUUUUUUUUUCCCAUGUAAAAUAAAACACAUUUCUUUGAACUUUCAUCUUUCAAAGUUUGAACUGC